CUAGAAAGGAGGAGGUGCAAUCGGGGUUACAGCCAGGCUAGCAGGAGCUAGAGUUUAGAGGAAAGGCAGCCAGCACCUGAGACAGAGAAAGGAAGAGGCAAGGUCACUCCUUUCUUGUGUUUCCCCAGACUUUGGUUAGUGCCUGCUGCUCUUGAAGAACUGAUCAAGUGCCAUUUGGCAGGGGAAUCUAGGAAAUGUACUCUGUAAAGAUUACUUUCCUCUUCUCUCCCACCUUCAAAGGAGCAGGAGAAUGGCUGCUCUGGAUGGAAAAUGCCCUGGGUUCUCCGAGACUUAACACCCCGCCUUGUGAACGCGAGCAAGAUUUUUCUCUCUGAGCAGCUCUUUUCACAUGUGAUAAGCUUGGCAAGUUGCCCUGGAUUGAAUUCUCACCCACUGUCUUCACCCAACCCAGCAGAGAAGAAGGCUUGUGACUGUGUAAGGAACAAUACAAGCAGCCGAAGGAGCUGCCCAGGACAGACUAAUUUUCAGGGGAGAGAAAGACAAGGAAGACUUAACCCUGCCUCUUGCUCUGUGCAUUACAAAGGCAUCCAGGCUCCAAGGUGAAAAUGGACAUACCAUUUCUGGGAAGAGAAAAGAAGCCAAUUAAAAGUGGGGCAUGUCAUUACACUGACCAGAAAUGAACAUGCCUUUUUAAAAAUAAAGAAUCUGUAUAUUCCUGUGGCUC
ensembl:lincRNA